UGGAGUAUAGCCAAGCGGUAAGGCAUCGGUUUUUGAUACCGACACGCAAAGGUUCGAAUCCUUUUACUCCAG
rnacentral:tRNA from 4 species